GAUGAACGCUAGCGACAGGCUUAACACAUGCAAGUCGAGGGGCAGCAUGAUUUAACUUCGGUUAAAUUGAUGGCGACCGGCGCACGGGUGCGUAACACGUAUGCAACCUACCUUAUACAGGGGGAUAGCCCAUGGAAACGUGGAUUAAUACCACAUAGUACUUUAUAUUCGCAUGAAUGUAGGGUUAAAGUCUUCGGAUGGUAUAAGAUGGGCAUGCGUCCCAUUAGAUAGUUGGUGAGGUAACGGCUCACCAAGUCGACGAUCGGUAGCCGGACUGAGAGGUUGAACGGCCACAUUGGGACUGAGACACGGCCCAGACUCCUACGGGAGGCAGCAGUGGGGAAUAUUGCACAAUGGGGGAAACCCUGAUGCAGCGACGCCGCGUGAGUGAAGACGGCCUUCGGGUUGUAAAGCUCUGUGAUGGGGGACGAUAAUGACGGUACCCCAUCAGAAAGCCACGGCUAACUACGUGCCAGCAGCCGCAGUAAGAC
rnacentral:rRNA from 1 species